UGGGUUUCNACGUUGAGGGAGCAAAGGCC
rnacentral:piRNA from 1 species